rnacentral:misc_RNA from 1 species
CAAUAAGUGUUUAUGGCACUUUAAAAAUCCAUACCCACCUUGUGUGCAAUGUCGACCUUUUUUGACCUUUCUCUUCCUUUGUUGGGGGAGAAAGAAAAAAAGGGUUCAUUUAUCCACAUCAAUGUUGUCUUUUUUUCUAGUCUACAUUCGAGUAAAUAAAACUCAAAUA